rnacentral:lncRNA from 1 species
GGAACCACUAGAAGAUACGAAAUUCUGACUGAAAUGUCAGCAACAGUAAGCGCAGGACAUGAGCAGGUCACUCGCUGCUAACCUGCACAAAGACAGGUUUUCUCAGGGUGGAAACAGCCCCAACCAAAUCCGUGUCUCCCACAGCACAUCCUACGGAUCUUCAGUAAAUGGUUGUCAGACUGAUUUUGCAAGUGGAAACACCAAACUGACUCUAGUCAAUUGGAGGCCUUGCCAGGUAACCAGACUUCCACAUGAGGCCAAAGCUCUUUGUUUCUAAUGGAGUGUAGGUGAUACUUGCAGAUAUCCAUUUGUUUGUGUUAAUUUGCAUAGUGGUUUUAUUGUUUGGUCUAAGGGGAGGGGAAGAAUGUGUUUUUUGUUUGUUGGAGAAGGUCUGAGAAAUGACAAAGAUGAAAGAGGGAAGAAAUUCCUUGCCACCCUCUUCAUGUGACAUUUGUGGAGAGCAGAGGGCUGGAGACCAGGAAAGGAGCUGACUUCAUACAAGACUAUGUAAGAUUCUUGGCAGACCUCUGGAUGCUUCAAGACAUAAAUGACAAGGUUCUUUCUGUGUGUCUGCCUCUCUAUUUGUUCUUUUUAGUUAUAUAUGACAGUACAGUAUAAGUUGACUUGCUUAUACAAACAUGGAAUACAUCUUAUUCUCAUUAGGAUUCCAGUCUUGUGAUGGCACAUGUUGUACAGAUUCACUGCAGUGUAUUCAUAUAUGAACAUAUAAAAGUUAUGUCAGAAUCAUUCCAUUGUCUUUCCUACUUUCCCCUCUCCCUUCCCUUCAUUCCCCUUCAUCUAAUCUACUAGACUUCUAUUCUUCCCCUUCCCCCUUGUUGUGUAUUAGCAUCUACUUAUCAGAGAGAAUAUUCAACCUUUUUUUUU